ensembl:snRNA U6 U6 spliceosomal RNA
GCGCUCGCUUUGGCAGGACAUAUAGUAAAACUGGAACAAUACAGAGAAGAUUAGCAUGGCCCCUGAGCAAGGAUGACAUGCAAAUUCCUGAAGCAUUCCAUAUCUUU